CCUACGGGAGGCAGCAGUAGGGAAUAUUGCUCAAUGGGGGAAACCCUGAAGCAGCAACGCCGCGUGGAGGAUGAAGGUUUUCGGAUUGUAAACUCCUUUUGUUAGAGAAGAUAAUGACGGUAUCUAACGAAUAAGCACCGGCUAACUCCGUGCCAGCAGCCGCGGUAAUACGGAGGGUGCAAGCGUUACUCGGAAUCACUGGGCGUAAAGAGCGCGUAGGCGGGAUAGCAAGUCAGAUGUGAAAUCCUAUGGCUUAACCAUAGAACUGCAUUUGAAACUGUUAUUCUAGAGUAUGGGAGAGGUAGGUGGAAUGCUUGGUGUAGGGGUAAAAUCCGUAGAGAUCAAGAGGAAUACUCAUUGCGAAGGCGACCUGCUAGAACAUAACUGACGCUGAUGCGCGAAGGCGUGGGGAGCGAACAGGAUUAGAUACCCGAGUAGUC
rnacentral:rRNA from 1 species